CGGUUCCGGAACAGCUAUGACCAUGAUUACCUCAAGCUAGUUAGGGGACACUAUAGAAAUACUCAAAGCUAUGCAUCCCAACGCGUUUGGAGCUUUCCCAUAUGGUCGACCUGCAGGGCGGCCCGCGAAUUCACUAGUGAUUAGAGUUUGAUCAUGGCUCAGGAUGAACGCUAGCGGCAGGCCUAACACAUGCAAGUCGAGGGGUAACAGGGAUUGCUUGCAAUCCGCUGACGACCGGCGCACGGGUGCGUAACGCGUAUGCAACCUACCUUUUACAGGGGUAUAGUCAAGAGAAAUUUUGAAUAACACCCCAUACGAUCAUCCUUACACCUGUAAAGAUGAAGAAAACUCCGGUGGUAAAAGAUGGGCAUGCGUCCUAUUAGUUAGUUGGUGAGGUAACGGCUCACCAAGACUGCGAUAGGUAGGGGUCCUGAGAGGGAGAUCCCCCACACUGGUACUGAGACACGGACCAGACUCCUACGGGAGGCAGCAGUGAGGAAUAUUGGACAAUGGAGGCAACUCUGAUCCAGCCAUGCCGCGUGCAGGAAGACUGCCCUAUGGGUUGUAAACUGCUUUUAUACAGGAAGAAACCUUGGUACGUGUACUAAGCUGACGGUACUGUAAGAAUAAGGAUCGGCUAACUCCGUGCCAGCAGCCGCGGUAAUACGGAGGAUCCAAGCGUUAUCCGGAAUCAUUGGGUUUAAAGGGUCCGCAGGCGGUUUUUUAAGUCAGAGGUGAAAUCCUAUCGCUCAACGAUAGAACUGCCUUUGAUACUGAAAGACUUGAGUUAUUGUGAAGUGGUUAGAAUAUGUAGUGUAGCGGUGAAAUGCAUAGAUAUUACAUAGAAUACCGAUUGCGAAGGCAGAUCACUAACAAUACACUGACGCUGAGGGACGAAAGCGUGGGUAGCGAACAGGAUUAGAUACCCUGGUAGUCCACGCCGUAAACGAUGUAUUCUAGCUGUUUGACCAACAUUGGUUGGUUGAGUGGCUAAGCGAAAGUGAUAAGUC
rnacentral:rRNA from 1 species